AUGGAGAGUGAUGUGCGUCCCACCCUGACGGUGCUGCCCCCCUCCAGUGAGGAGCUGCAGCAGGGGAAGGCCACGCUCAUGUGUCUGGCCAACAAGGGCUUCCCCUCAGACUGGAGUCUGGCCUGGAAGGUGGACGGCAGCAGCAGCAGCAGCUGGGAGGAGAGCAGGAGCCCUGGGGUGCUGGAGAAGAACGGCCUCUACAGCUGGAGCAGCACCCUGAGGCUCCCUGCAGACCAGUGGAGGAGGUUGGGAUCUGUGACCUGUGAGGCCACCCAGGGCUCCCAGACUCCACACUCAGAGACACUGAGGAGAGACCAGUGUUCCCAGUCCUGA